rnacentral:lncRNA from 1 species
CUCCAGGACGUGCUGCUCCUGCGGCUUGGCAGCGGUCCAUCUGGGAAGCGGGAUUUGGGUUGAUGAGGAGAAAUGGCACCAGCUACAAGUAACCCAAGGAGAUUCCAAGUACACGAAGAACUUGGCAGUUAUGAUUUGGGGAACAGAUGUUCUGAAAAACAGAAGCGUCACAGGCGUCGCCACAAAAAAAAAGAAAGAUGCAGUCCCUAAACCACCCCUCUCGCCUCACAAACUAAGCAUCGUCAGAGAGUGUUUGUAUGACAGAAUAGCACAAGAAACUGUGGAUGAAACUGAAAUUGCACAGAGACUCUCCAAAGUCAACAAGUACAUCUGUGAAAAAAUCAUGGAUAUCAAUAAAUCCUGUAAAAAUGAAGAACGAAGGGAAGCAAAAUACAAUUUGCAAUAAACUUUGGAUUUUUCAUAAA